GGGCUAUGAAUAUUCAUAAAGUUGGUCCUGACACGUGUAUUAAAUAUGUAUGUAACAUAUGACCCAUGUUUAUUUUGGGAUGGAGACUUAAAAUAUAAAUGUACUAUAAUUAGACCCUGUAUGUACAAAAAUACAUGUUGAGUGUGCAAUUUCUGUAUACCAGCCAACAUUUGUCCAUGGUCAGUGACCUUUUUAUCAGGAGAAAUGUACUGAAAUCAGACUCUUGUCUAAUUAAAGCUGUAGUUAUGCCUGGUGAACAGGGAGUAGGGGUCAGUCAGCUUAUCUUGAAUCCAGUACUCAUUUGGCUGCUCGUGAAAAAGAAACACCUUGUGGCAGCUGGAACAUAACUUUUGAAGUGUAGGAGUGCGCGACUUCACUGUUGCCUGGCAUGGUCCCGUGUCCUGUUUAUAAUUUGGUAUCUUAUUGUUACAAAGAGUCCGUUUUGUCAGUUUUAUGAUCUAUAUUUUAACGUUAAUGUUGGUCAGUUGCAUCUGAAUUCCAAAGGGGGGAGGGUAUAAUGAGGUGUGUCCAGCCCCCUGCUUUCUUAGUUACCAAAAAGGCAAAGAAAAACCUUCUGCGGUGUGACUGCUUUUUCUUAUGAGAAGCCCACUGAGAUUACCUGGAAGCCAAACUUGAUGAAAAAAGUGC
rnacentral:lncRNA from 1 species